rnacentral:rRNA from 1 species
AUUGAACGCUGGCGGCAGGCCUAACACAUGCAAGUCGAAUGGUAACAGGAAACAGCUUGCUGUUUCGCUGACGAGUGGCGGACGGGUGAGUAAUGUCUGGGAAACUGCCUGAUGGAGGGGGAUAACUACUGGAAACGGUAGCUAAUACCGCAUAACGUCGCAAGACCAAAGAGGGGGACCUUCGGGCCUCUUGCCAUCAGAUGUGCCCAGAUGGGAUUAGCUAGUAGGUGGGGAACGGCUCACCUAGGCGACGAUCCCUAGCUGGUCUGAGAGGAUGACCAGCCACACUGGAACUGAGACACGGUCCAGACUCCUACGGGAGGCAGCAGUGGGGAAUAUUGCACAAUGGGCGCAAGCCUGAUGCAGCCAUGCCGCGUGUAUGAAGAAGGCCUUCGGGUUGUAAAGUACUUUCAGCGGGGAGGAAGGGAGUAAAGUUAAUACCUUUGCUCAUUGACGUUACCCGCAGAAGAAGCACCGGCUAACUCCGUG